GCUUUCCCUCUGCUUUUAUCACGCGUGAGCAGAGUUUGGCACAGCAGAAAUGGCAUCCUCCUCCUGUCAAGUGUAUUUGCUCCUACAGUGCCUGUGAAUAGGCACUGCCCAGGAUGAUUCAGAGUGGAGCCUCCUCCAGAUAGGCAUCAAUUGUGCUGCAUUGAAUCAGACAUGGUGUUUUCCACAACAUCUGUUCUGGACUUCUGUUACAUCACCUCUUAGAGGGGGUAGGAUGCUCCAAGCAUGAAGCUGGGGGCUCAAGAGCAUCACAAGGCUACAGCUAUUCACGUGUUUAGUGCUAAAAAU
rnacentral:lncRNA from 12 species